AUGGCGCUUCCUUUCAGGGGUUUAGGUUUGCAUCCGCGUUCUGCUUUUUGCUUGACCCUGCCUUGUUUGUCCUUCCCGUUUGUUUCAGCCUACUCGCUGGCCGAGGUCGAGCAGAAGACCCUGGAGUUCAGGAAGGAGAUGACCACCCCGAUCCCCAUCGCGGAGGACGCGUCAGAAUUCGAGAAAUUUCGGGCUAGGGCUUACGAAACAGCUAUGAAAGUUCCUGUUAAAUCAAUAGAGCUUUACUUGGAUCUUAGGGGCGGAAUUGAAGAUCAUGUUUUGGGCAUGGAAAAACUGUUGCCAGACUUAGAUCCGCAGGAGCGGCGUGUCUUUACCCUUGUUCUUGAUCUUAAUGAGACCCUCGUAUAUUCUGAUUGGGAGCCUGAGACAGGCUUGAAGACAUUCAAGAGACCAGGAGUUGAUGCUUUUUUGCAACGUAUGUCAACCCUGUAUGAAGUUGUUGUAUAUUCUGAUCAACUGCAGAAGGAUGUGGAGGAUGUGGUUAAAAGGAUCGACCAAACAGGACGUAUACACAAAUUAUCAAGGCCUGCAACUAAGUACCGGAAGGGUAUACACUUUCGGGAUCUGUCAAGGUUGAACAGAAAUCCUGCACGAGUUCUGUACAUAAGUGCGCAUGCUCUUGAAUCUUUCCUGCAACCUGAAAAUUGUCUGGAUAUCAAACCAUGGAAACUUGAAACUAAUGACACUGAACUGCGGGAUCUGAGUCCAUUUCUUGAGUCUCUUGAUGUUGUAAGGCCUGCUGAUCUUCAUGAAGUGGUUGCUUCUUAUCAAGGGAAGGAUGUUGUUAAAGAGUUCUAUGAGCGAUGCAAACAAGUGCAGAGGGCGAUUGAGGAGCAGAAGCAGCAGCAGCAGAAGAAACGUGAGAGCAAGUGGUGGCGGAUAUUUCCCUGA
rnacentral:rRNA from 1 species